GACAGAGGGGGCAAGCGUUGCUCGGAAUUACUGGGCGUAAAGGGCGCGUAGGCGGGAUGGCAAGUCGGUCGUGAAAGCCCCGGGCUUAACCUGGGAAUUGCGCUUGGGACUGGAGGGCUUGAGUACGGGAGAGGAGAGUGGAAUUCCCAGUGUAGAGGUGAAAUUCGUAGAUAUUGGGAAGAACACCGGUGGCGAAGGCGGCUCUCUGGACCGUAACUGAUGCUGAGGCGCGAAAGCGUGGGGAGCAAACAGG
rnacentral:rRNA from 1 species